GCCUUUUUCAAUAGUUACCGUGAAGACCAUGAGAUGACGCAUCUGCGUGAUCUUCAGAAGUUAGAAGGCGUCCUCUCACCUUCCCAUCUAGAGGAAAUGGAAUUUGCUCAUUCUAUACGGGUGAGCAAAGUGAACAUUAAGAUGUGUCAGUACUCCUAUGACCUUCUGUUGCAAUACUUGCACAAGACAGAAUCUAUUACAAUGCUUGGGAUCAUCAAUGAGCGCAUUAAUUUUCAAGUUUCUCCUGGACAGCCUGGCUCUAUAUCUGGUGAUACGGAAGUUGUAACUCUUGUUGCAAGUGGCCAUGAUGCUAGUCUCAUAAAUCAGAAAG
rnacentral:misc_RNA from 1 species